UGAACCUCAAGUAUAGUCACCGAUAGUUGUUGAUUGAGGAAAAUAAGUAAUAAAAUAAAAAUGAGUUAAAUAUUUUGAUUAAGUUCAAGUUGAUUGAUCAAAUCUACAGUGCAGUCUAUUUGCAGUAUUUGAACAAUGACAAGUUUUAUUGUAUUGGCUCUAUACUCACUUAUAAUUACAGUGAGUUAUACAAAUUUAACAUACUGACUCAUCUAUGAAAUAAGGUAGAGGGGGUUUUACAUUUUGGUAUGAAGAUGACUGCAGUAAAGGCCUCACCAGGGAAGACACCCGGCAUCUGGUGAUGUAUAUGGGUUACAUAUUUUAGGCUGUCCUCAAAUGCAACCAAAUACAAGAUUUAGAUUUAGUCCCCUAAAAUAAAGUGAAAGGUCUAUGUAUAGAAAGAGCUGUAAUUCCUACACAUUUCAGUUUAUUGAUGCAAACACCCUAAUAUUACAGCUAAUAAUGUGCACUUCAACAUCUUAGUCACUGUGUAAUUUCAAAUCAAAUGUACAGGAGUAUAGAGCCAUAUAGUGUAUAGUGUGCCACUGUCCAAAUACUAAUAAACUAUAAUAAACUACACUAUUUUUACAGAAAUGCUGAUUAAGUUAGAUAGAGGCAGCCCUGAUACCAUAACAGUGCAUAAUUUAGGACCUAAGUCAUUUAUAGGGAAUAUGGUGCCAUUUCAGGCACAAAUUCUUACUAAAUGGUGCCACUAGCAAAUCUGAAGCCUUAAGCAUGUGCUAAUGCUAGUUUCAUUCCUCUCUCCUUCAUUUCUCUUAAGGAAAACAUACAAUCACAUUCUGUUCAACACAUCACAUGCAUAUUUAAAAGAGUUUGCUGAAAGCUUCCCCACAGAUGCAUCAUAACAUUGAUAUGACAAAAUUAGUUUAAGAUUCUGGAAAACUACAAUUUAUAAAACAUUCCUGUACAAUCCGCCGUUUGCUAGGAUGGAAGAUAUUUCUAGGUAUGUGCAUAUGGCCAGAAAUUAGGAAAUUAUUUGUGUCUUUAAGACGCAUGAAGUAAGGCAGGAUGCUUUUAAAUAGCGUUUGGUACUCUAGUCUACAACAAUGUGGCUAAACCUUAACGUUGGGGAACAAACCUCAAAACAUUCUAGAACAUACAAUUCUCUCAAUGAUAACCUUUCAUUUGCUCUUAAGUUUAGGAGGGACACAAAAAAAAGUAGUAACUUUGUUCAACACAACACUAGCUGCUUUCCUCAUUUAAUUCAGAUCCCAGAAUGCAUUGCUGCGUAAUACCAGACAUCCAUUGCACCAAAACACUCAAUUUCUCUCCCAGGUUUUCCACUUUAAGCUUUAUAUUACUUUUUAUAAAGUAAACAACCAACAGAAAACAAAGUGGUAAUUUUCUGCAUAGAUUCUAUCUGAACAUCCCUCUCACAUCAAAGGGUGAAGGGUUUAAUGUGUUUUUUUUUAACCUGAUGCUGCAUAUGUUAUCCAUGAAACAGUCAAAAAAAAUUACUCUGGAUAAUAAAUAAGCCAUAUCUGAGUGUAAGCCAGUGAGAUAAACAGUUAAGUUAAGUAGUAGUAGCCAGCCACACCAGAGUAGCCAGAUCUAAACCCCAAAACGCCGAAUGAAUCCUUAUCAAAUCUCAAGUACCUACUGGUCUUCACUAACGAUGCAUAUCAACCGAUUAGCAACCUCAUGGAGGUAAAAUAUUUAGCAAUUGCUGAAAACCACAGACAACUCAGAAAAUACUUUACCAAGAGAAAACAACCAUGGAAAUAAUCCUGCUGCCCCCAGUAAGCUGCAGAGGGAGCUGUCCCAAAAUCAAACGACUUGAUAUUCUAAAACAUGGCUGCGGAAACCAUGUUCCUGGAGAGUUAACAUCCUGUCGGUUCGCUUCAACUCGAAUUAAACACACUUGAUUCUAAUAAUUAGCUGGAAGAAACUCUGAAACGGGUUAGCCCUAACUGGGUUACAGAGAAAAACCUACAAGAUGGUAGAUUUCCAGGAACAGGGUUGGGCAACCAAAAAGAUUCUCUUUGCAGAAUCUUUAAAAUACAAUGUGCAUGUCCAGUGCUUGUACUUAAUAUUGUGUUUCACUGUGCCAUGGAGUCUGACCCACUCAGUAUAAGGUUCAGCCAUAGAAAUAUAUUAUAUUACACUAGAAAUGACUGUCAGUCUUUACAGGUUUAUGAAAUCUUCCACUAUAAUAUCAUAUUUUUCUAUUGGUCUCUUACCUAUCUGAUAGUCUCCCACUGUUAUAUUGAUACAGACCAACCAACCUACGAUGGACAAAAUGUGCCUACGAUGGACAAAAAUAUCAAAACCCAUUUUACUGUUAUAUCAAAACUCUUUACAGGAAGUAACAUAGAUUAGACAUUGGCUGUUUUAAAGACCAUCAAGCAAUUACAGACUGACUGAUCUAUCAUGGAUAGUUUCCAUGAUACAUUGCAGUUUCUGAUCCAUAGAACACAAAAAAGAGGAGUGAAUUAAAGCGGCAUGUUCAAGCACUGUGGUUGUGAGUUUUAGAAAAAAGAAAAGAAGCACCAUUGGUUGAGUGGAGAUAAAUUUGCAAAAAAGAAUGAAAG
ensembl:lncRNA